rnacentral:rRNA from 1 species
UACGUAGGGUGCAAGCGUUAAUCGGAAUUACUGGGCGUAAAGCGUGCGCAGGCGGUUGUGCAAGACAGAUGUGAAAUCCCCGGGCUCAACCUGGGAAUUGCAUUUGUGACUGCACGGCUAGAGUGUGUCAGAGGGGGGAGAAUUCCACGUGUAGCAGUGAAAUGCGUAGAGAUGUGGAGGAAUACCGAUGGCGAAGGCAGCCCCCUGGGAUAACACUGACGCUCAUGCACGAAAGCGUGGGGAGCAAACAGG